UACGUAGGGUGCAAGCGUUGUCCGGAAUUAUUGGGCGUAAAGAGCUCGUAGGCGGUCUGUCGCGUCGGCUGUGAAAACUCGGGGCCCAACCCCGAGCCUGCAGUCGAUACGGGCAGACUAGAGUGCUGUAGGGGAGACUGGAAUUCCUGGUGUAGCGGUGAAAUGCGCAGAUAUCAGGAGGAACACCGGUGGCGAAGGCGGGUCUCUGGGCGAGUG
rnacentral:rRNA from 1 species